GACUCUCGGCAACGGAUAUCUCGGCUCUCGCAUCGAUGAAGAACGUAGCGAAAUGCGAUACUUGGUGUGAAUUGCAGAAUCCCGUGAACCAUCGAGUCUUUGAACGCAAGUUGCGCCCGAAGCCGUCAGGCCGAGGGCACGCCUGCCUGGGGGUCACGC
rnacentral:rRNA from 1 species